rnacentral:rRNA from 1 species
AAUGCCUAGGAAUCUGCCUGGUAGUGGGGGAUAACGUUCGGAAACGGACGCUAAUACCGCAUACGUCCUACGGGAGAAAGCAGGGGACCUUCGGGCCUUGCGCUAUCAGAUGAGCCUAGGUCGGAUUAGCUAGUUGGUGAGGUAAUGGCUCACCAAGGCGACGAUCCGUAACUGGUCUGAGAGGAUGAUCAGUCACACUGGAACUGAGACACGGUCCAGACUCCUACGGGAGGCAGCAGUGGGGAAUAUUGGACAAUGGGCGAAAGCCCGAUCCAGCCAUGCCGCGUGUGUGAAGAAGGUCUUCGGAUUGUAAAGCACUUUAAGUUGGGAGGAAGGGUUGUAGAUUAAUACUCUGCAAUUUUGACGUUACCGACAGAAUAAGCACCGGCUAACUCUGUGCCAGCAGCCGCGGUAAUACAGAGGGUGCAAGCGUUAAUCGGAAUUACUGGGCGUAAAGCGCGCGUAGGUGGUUUGUUAAGUUGGAUGUGAAAUCCCCGGGCUCAACCUGGGAACUGCAUUCAAAACUGACUGACUAGAGUAUGGUAGAGGGUGGUGGAAUUUCCUGUGUAGCGGUGAAAUGCGUAGAUAUAGGAAGG